rnacentral:lncRNA from 1 species
GUGUCCACUCCUCUGUGUAAUGCUUGUGACCAUCUGAUAUCACAAGUAGAUCAUCCUCGACCUGCUGCCCAGCAACUGCACUCACUGAUUCUGAGCCACUUCUUUCUCCCUUCUUGCUCUUCCAUAGUGGACAUUCUCGCUUGAAGUGCCCGAACUCAUUGCACUUGAAGCAUUUCAUCUCUUUCUUUCCCUUCCUGGACUUGGACCACCCCCUGGACUUGCUUCUGCCUCUGCCUCUACUUGUCCUCUCCCCUACUGCCAAACCCUCCUGGGGAGUCCGAUCUCUGAUCAACUUUUCUCUUUUCU